rnacentral:rRNA from 1 species
GACGAACGCUGCGGCGUGCUUAACACAUGCAAGUCGAACGGAAAGGCCCUGCUUUUGUGGGGUGCUCGCGUGGCGAACGGGUGAGUAACACGUGAGUAACCUGCCCUUGACUUUGGGAUAACUUCAGGAAACUGGGGCUAAUACCGGAUAGGAGCUCCUGCUGCAUGGUGGGGGUUGGAAAGUUUCGGCGGUUGGGGAUGGACUCGCGGCUUAUCAGCUUGUUGGUGGGGUAGUGGCUUACCAAGGCUUUGACGGGUAGCCGGCCUGAGAGGGUGACCGGCCACAUUGGGACUGAGAUACGGCCCAGACUCCUACGGGAGGCAGCAGUGGGGAAUAUUGCACAAUGGGCGGAAGCCUGAUGCAGCAACGCCGCGUGCGGGAUGACGGCCUUCGGGUUGUAAACCGCUUUCGCCUGUAACGAAGCGUGAGUGACGGUAAUGGGUAAAGAAGCACCGGCUAACUACGUG